GGAGCUCAAAGAUCAUCGAUGGUGACCACCGUAGAUUAUUCUCUGGAAUCGUAUUGGAUAAGUAGCUUUUGGAGCAGUCAGGUGGCGAUCUGGUUGCUCAUUGUGUAAUAGAUGUUUAAUCUUCAGUGCAAACAGUAGAGAUUAAACAAAAUGGUUUAAUUCUCAAUAAAGGCAUAAUGAAGGCUAUAAACAGUUUAUGUUUGACUUUUCAGUUGCUCAGCUUGGCUUUCACACAGCCUUAAAGAAUUAUGUUUUGUGCAUGACUGAUGCAGCUCACAGUCAGAACCCGAUGAAUUAAUGGAUUUCAGUGAAACUGAGGAAAACAGAGAUGAUAGAAUAUAUCAUGUAGUCGAGUGUGUUUUUCUUCCCUCUAACGGUGACGAGCAGAAACGCGGGCCAUUUUCACCGCAGCACAGAACUUUCAGAAAAUAUAUGGCAGUGCCAACUCAUAGCAACCAUACGUCUGGUUUCCAAGACAGGAGAGAAAGGGAAGUGGUUUGUGAGUGCAUGUAUGUGAAGAAACAUGUAAAGUCCACACCCAAAGAGCAGCCUGGGAAGUACAAGGUACCAGCUUUACCUGCUGUACUACUGUGUUCUCUUAGAAAAGAGUUCAAGAAAGUGCUACUGAAAACAUGCAAACAGGGAACUAGUUGGAUCUGCAAACGUGCAACUCGGAUCUUCGUAAGAGGAGAGAGAAGCGUAGGGGACAGCUGGUAGUGUAGUAGAGUAACUGCCUUUGGACCCAAAGGUCACAGGUUCGAGC
rnacentral:lncRNA from 1 species